AAUCAACGCUGGCGGCGUGCCUCAGACAUGCAAGUCGAACGCGAAAGGUUCCUUCGGGAACCGAGUAGAGUGGCGCACGGGUGAGUAACACGUAGGUAAUUUGCCUUUGGGUGGGGAAUAACAGCCGGAAACGGCUGCUAAUACCGCAUAAUGCAGCGGCUCGACAUCGAGACAGUUGUUAAAGCGGGGGAUCGCAAGACCUCGCGCCUAAAGAGAAGCCUGCGGCAGAUAGCUAGUUGGUAGGGUAAUGGCCUACCAAGGCGACGAUCUGUAACCGGCCUGAGAGGGCGGUCGGUCACACUGACACUGACAUACGGGUCAGACUCCUACGGGAGGCAGCAGUCGGGAAUUUUGGGCAAUGGGCGAAAGCCUGACCCAGCAACGCCGCGUGAAGGAUGAAAUACCCUCGGGA
rnacentral:rRNA from 1 species